AUCUUGAGUACCAGACUUGGCCCACUGACCUUACAGACACAUCAGGAGUACCAUCUGAUCUGUGGUCGUGGAGACAUACUUGAACACUUUCUGGGUGGAAGUGUGGACAUUUACAGUGCUCCUUCCAAGCAUAUGGACCAGUUAGGGGGAUGUGGGCUCCCACAUACCAAAUCCUGACGGGUCCAUGGGGAGGACGCAUGUGGGACUGGAUUAUUCACCGAGACAUCUGGGAAAUUAGACCACCUAGAAUACCUAACUGAUUUAUAGUCAGUGCCCCUAGAAUAACACCUGAUAUUUUGGAUAGGAAUAGGGAGUCAAUGGACAUUUGGUUGUUAGAAACCCUACAGCUUUAGUAUAUCCAUAAACUGAAGCCAGGGGAAGUUGUCACUGCAUGAUAACGUUUGCUGGAAGGGUAGAGGACAAAGAACUAUCCUGACAGGACACCUACUUUUUCAAGCUAAUGAUAGCUGUGUGUAUGUUAAAACCACCACAUUGCAAGAUAUACNUACAUAUUAAUCUCAUUACCACUGCAAGCAAUCAUAUUGUUUGUUGGUCUGCAGAUAGAAUUUUGCAAGUAACCCUUAGUUUCCAGACACCCUUUAAUUGGACAGGUUAGUACCUGAUCGAUUUCAAGAUUUGCAUUCAUUGUUACCAGAGGUUCAAAGAAUCUCUGAAAUAUAAGGGCAAAUUUACAUGCUUCAAAAUAUAUAUCAAGCUGAAAAGAAUGCCUUUCAUACAGCUUAUAAAAUUUUUACUUUAUGUACUAGGUAUGAUAUAUUGUGCUUUGUGACCAAAACUAUACAACAACCCCAUCAUAUUAUUGCUUUGGGAAUGUUAUUGCUUGUAUUGCUGUUAGUUAGUUUAGGAUUAUGUUGUUGUUGUUGUAAAAUAAUAAUAAUACCUUUCAUGUCCAUGUUGUCAGAGGUGUGUUGUCAGAUGCUACCGGUGUGGUGCUCUGCUCUCUCCUUGUUGGUAUCACUGGGCUGCGUGCGUGUGUUCCCUCUGUGUGCUGCCCCAGCUCUGCGCAGAUAGCUGACACAGCAGACCCAAAGAGAACCCCCAAAACCACAGAGUCUUGUAAGGUACGAAGGCCCGUCGGCCAGGUUUAUUGCCUUAUGGACACAAUUGCAGUUCCCUGUAGGUUUCUUAACCUAACUCAGGGCAUACUACAAGAAAGUGCCUCUUGACAGUGGACUCGGCUCAAUCAGUGGCGGGAC
rnacentral:lncRNA from 1 species